rnacentral:sRNA from 1 species
CUCGGCUCUAAAGAAGAGCUGUUAAUGCGAUAUUAAGUGUAAGUUUUUUCUCAGAAAACCAUCGAACCCUUUCGUUUAGUGCCUGUGCAAGUUUACCCUCAUCUACCGUUUAAUAGCUUAUCUACCAGCCAAUUAUCGUUUAGUGUCAUUAAAAUAUAGAGGUAACUAUGUCAGCUAAAGUGACAGGUUCAGUAAAAUGGUUCAACGAAACUAAAGGUUUCGGCUUUCUAACUCCAGACAACGGCGGAAGCGAUGUGUUUGUACACUUCAACUCUAUCGUUUCAGAUGGUUUCAAAACUCUUGCUGAAGGCCAAAAAGUAAGCUUCAGUGUAGAGCAGGGCAAAAAAGGCCCUCAAGCAGAACAAGUUGUGGUUCUGUAAAUAGAAUCAUGAAUGGCGCGAUAAACUCGCGCCAUUUCUU